rnacentral:rRNA from 1 species
AGAGUUUGAUCCUGGCUCAGGAUGAACGCUAGCUACAGGCUUAACACAUGCAAGUCGAGGGGAAACGACAGUAAAGCUUGCUUUAUUGGGCGUCGACCGGCGCACGGGUGCGUAACGCGUAUCCAACCUGCCCCCAACUCCGGAAUAGUCCCCCGAAAGGGGGGUUAACGCCGGAUGCUGCAAUUUUUCCGCAUGGUGGAAUUGCGAAAUGAAAAAGGUUGGGGCUGGGGAUGCGUCCCAUUAGGUAGUAGGCGGGGUAACGGCCCACCUAGCCGACGAUGGGUAGGGGUUCUGAGAGGAAGGUCCCCCACAUUGGAACUGAGACACGGUCCAAACUCCUACGGGAGGCAGCAGUGAGGAAUAUUGGUCAAUGGGCGAGAGCCUGAACCAGCCAAGUAGCGUGCAGGAUGACGGCCCUAUGGGUUGUAAACUGCUUUUAUAAGGGAAUAAAGUGAGUCUCGUGAGACUUUUUGCAUGUACCUUAUGAAUAAGGACCGGCUAAUUCCGUGCCAGCAGCCGCGGUAAUACGGAAGGUCCGGGCGUUAUCCGGAUUUAUUGGGUUUAAAGGGAGCGUAGGCCGGAGAUUAAGCGUGUUGUGAAAUGUAGACGCUCAACGUCUGCACUGCAGCGCGAACUGGUUUCCUUGAGUACGCACAAAGUGGGCGGAAUUCGUGGUGUAGCGGUGAAAUGCUUAGAUAUCACGAAGAACUCCGAUUGCGAAGGCAGCUCACUGGAGCGCAACUGACGCUGAAGCUCGAAAGUGCGGGUAUCGAACAGGAUUAGAUACCCUGGUAGUCCGCACGGUAAACGAUGGAUGCCCGCUGUUGGUCUGAAUAGGUCAGCGGCCAAGCGAAAGCAUUAAGCAUCCCACCUGGGGAGUACGCCGGCAACGGUGAAACUCAAAGGAAUUGAC